CUGCUUUCUUACUGUUUCACUGCUAGCGUAGUGAAACAAUGAUAGUAUUAUCAUGUGUUUGUAUAGACUAAGUGGGGGAGUCACUUGUAUAGUACAGAUUUUGGUGUGCUUAAACAGGCAGCUUUGUGGUAAGAGUGUUGGUGGUAAAUAGAUUCCCCUUUUUACCUUCCUUUAGAGUUUCAUCUGAUUGGAGAUGUCUUCCUAGACAAAAGAAAAAAAUGAAGCAGGAUGUAUUCUGCGAGGUCCUCAGUCAGGUCUUAGUCUAUGCUACCCCUGAUGUGCUUUCAUCUCCAAAAAGGAGCAUCACACAAACAUCCAAUUAACCCAUGAUCCUGCAAUCAGUGAUACACCACUAGUUACAACUACACUUGAACCUCAAGGUAUUUGGUUGUCUGAAACAUGCCAUUGGUAUGAGGCAAAGGGGAAGCUCACUGCACUCUGUCAUCUUUAGGAGACCUGAAACAAAACCUUGAAAGAGAAAUCGCUAGAGAAAAUGUAAGCAAGUAAAAUAUACACAUUGCUUGGAGGGAAGGAAUGACUGCUGAGUGCUUUUCAAUGGCUGAAUACUUCAAUGCUACUUACUUCAAUGACCCAAGUAAGCUAAAUUUAUUGUAAGAGGGAACAUGUUAACUGAUUCAGGUCACCACGGUGUAGUUUAAAACAGCUCUAGUUGAUUGUAUCAAAUCACCACUGCAGUGCAACAGUGCUAUAACUAAAUCCAUUUUGCUAAACAAAUUACUUUAUAGGCAAGACAAUUU